rnacentral:rRNA from 1 species
AUUGAACGCUGGCGGCAGGCCUAACACAUGCAAGUCGAGCGGAGCGGCGGACGGGUGAGUAAUGCCUAGGAAUCUGCCUGGUAGUGGGGGAUAACGUCCGGAAACGGGCGCUAAUACCGCAUACUAUCAGAUGAGCCUAGGUCGGAUUAGCUAGGUGGUGGGGUAAAGGCCUACCAAGGCGACGAUCCGUAACUGGUCGGAGAGGAUGAUCAGUCAAACUGGAACGGAGACACGGUCAAAAGUCCGACGGGAGGCAGAAGUGGUGAAUAUUGUACAAUGGGCUAAAGCCUGAUCCAGCCAUGCCGCGUGUGUGAAGAAGGUCUUCGGAUUGUAAUGCACUUUAAGAUGGGAGGCGUUACCAGCAGAAUAAGCUCCGGCUAACUUCGUGCCAGCAGCCGCGGUAAUAC